rnacentral:pre_miRNA from 1 species
AAUUUCAUCUGAAAAAGUCAUCAAUAAGAAAGUUGUAUAACUCAUCAAGAUCUAUAACUUCUAUUUUGGUCAUUUCUUCAUCCGAUGAAGUGAUUUGAAAGAUUGUUCACAAAAUGUACAUGUCUUAUAUAGUUUUGAUAUAGUGAUUUGUAAGGUUGUUCACAAAAUGUACAUCUCUUAUAUAGUCUAUAUAAGAGAUGUACAUUUUGUGAACAAUCUUACAAAUCACUUUAUCGGAUGAAGAAAUGACUAAAAUAGAAGUUAUAGAUCUUGAUGAGUUAUACAACUUUCUUAUUGAUGACUUUUUCAGUUGAAAUC